rnacentral:rRNA from 1 species
CAAGGUAGCAUAAUCAAUAGUCUUUUAAUUGGAGGCUUGAAUGAAAGGUUUGACGGAGGAGAAGCUGUCUUUUUAUUAGAAUUGAAUUUAACUUUUGUGUAAGAAGGCAUUAAUGAUUUAGAGGGACGAUAAGACCCUAUAAAACUUUAUAUAUUAUAUUUAUUUAAUAAAAUAGUUAAUUAAUUAUUGGUGGUUAAUUAUAUUUUGCUGGGGUGGCAGGAAUAUAAUUCUAACUGUUUUAAAUGUAAAAUAUUUAUUAAUAGAGAGUGGUCCUUUGGUUGAGAGUUGAGAGUAAGUUA